GACGAAGGGGGCUAGCGUUGUUCGGAAUUACUGGGCGUAAAGCGAGUGUAGGUGGUUGUCCAAGUUGGAUGUGAAAGCCUUGAGCUCAACUCAAGAAAUGCAUUCAGGACUGGGCGGCUAGAGGACCGGAGAGGAUAGUGGAAUUCCCAGUGUAGUGGUGAAAUACGUAGAGAUUGGGAAGAACACCAGUGGCGAAGGCGGCUAUCUGGACGAGUACUGACGCUGAGGCACGAAAGCGUGGGGAUCAAACAGG
rnacentral:rRNA from 1 species